rnacentral:rRNA from 1 species
CGGCAUGCCUUACACAUGCAAGUCGAACGGCAGCACGGGAGCAAUCCUGGUGGCGAGUGGCGAACGGGUGAGUAAUAUAUCGGAACGUGCCCGGUCGUGGGGGAUAACGUAGCGAAAGCUACGCUAAUACCGCAUACGAUCUACGGGAUGAAAGCGGGGGAUCGCAAGACCUCGCGCGAUUGGAGCGGCCGAUAUCAGAUUAGGUAGUUGGUGAGGUAAAGGCUCACCAAGCCGACGAUCUGUAGCUGGUCUGAGAGGACGACCAGCCACACUGGGACUGAGACACGGCCCAGACUCCUACGGGAGGCAGCAGUGGGGAAUUUUGGACAAUGGGCGCAAGCCUGAUCCAGCAAUGCCGCGUGCAGGAUGAAGGCCUUCGGGUUGUAAACUGCUUUGUACGGAACGAAACGGUGAGCUCUAAUACAGUUUGCUAAUGACGGUACCGUAAGAAUAAGCACCGGCUAACUACGCG